ensembl:lncRNA
UUCAACAGCGCUUCAGACUGUGACCAUGAGGCUUUUAGGUUGUUGGCUUACGUAAGCUGAGGACUGUGGAGGCCAUUUGAAUACAGUGAACUCAUUGUCAUAUCCAAAAAACAGUUUGAGAUGAUCUGAGCUUUGCCACAUGAUGUAUUAUCCAGCUGGGUACACAAAUAAGGGAUUGACACAGCAUUAAUGGAUGGACACGGACAGCAACACAAGCAACCUAGACAGUUUCCCAUCCUUAGCUGACAGGAGAGGCACCUGUUGUGGUCUUCUGCUGCUGUAGCCCAUCUGCUUCAAGACCUGAUGUCUGGUGCUACUCUGCAUACCUUGGUUGCAAUGAGUGGUUAUUUGAGUUGCUGUCAGCUUCAACUCAAAGCUUGAUCACACAGCCUUCUUUACUGCCUGGUCUCUGUCACGGUCUGUUAACAAGACGCCG